ACUCCUACGGGAGGCAGCAGUGGGGAAUCUUGGACAAUGGGCGCAAGCCUGAUCCAGCCAUGCCGCGUGAGUGAUGAAGGUCUUAGGAUCGUAAAGCUCUUUCGCCAGGGAUGAUAAUGACAGUACCUGGUAAAGAAACCCGGCUAACUCCGUGCCAGCAGCCGCGGUAAUACGGAGGGGGUUAGCGUUGUUCGGAAUUACUGGGCGUAAAGCGCGCGUAGGCGGAUCAGAAAGUUGGGGGUGAAAUCCCGGGGCUCAACCCCGGAACUGCCUCCAAAACUCCUGGUCUUGAGUUCGAGAGAGGUGAGUGGAACUCCGAGUGUAGAGGUGAAAUUCGUAGAUAUUCGGAAGAACACCAGUGGCGAAGGCGGCUCACUGGCUCGAUACUGACGCUGAGGUGCGAAAGUGUGGGGAGCAAACAGGAUUAGAUACCCUGGUAGGAUAGCG
rnacentral:rRNA from 1 species